rnacentral:misc_RNA from 1 species
AGGACCAUACAGAAGAUACCCUCUCUUCCAACCCCUGCCGACACUCUGGAAGUACUUCUUGCGUUGUAAAAACAAGUCAAGAUCUUGUACGAUAGAUUCCUUAAGGUCAGGUUCCAAAGCCAGAGUCUCAAAGCUAGCUGGGUGCUUGAAAACAGUAGAUUCCCACACGGAACCAUCAUGGUCAUAAGUGUAAAGAUUAAGGGUCUCGCGCUUGCUCAAGAUUGAUUCUGCAGUGCUAGAAAUAUGAGGCAAGUAACUCUCUAUAACUCUUUCUCUGUCUUUCUUGCUGCAACUCAACUCGAAGAAUCGCCUGUUCCUAAAAUAAUACUUCUUGGCUUCUUUCUCACGAAGAAUCCAUUCCAGGCGCAUACCUUGGAAGUCAUCGAUGACUUUAGCAUCAACAGGAAGGCCUGGUUUGGGUGGAGCAGUGAUAUUGUUACUGUCAUUAUUGCCAAGGAGGAGGCUUUUGGUGGAGGGACCGAUCCUGGUAG